GAGUUUGAUCCUGGCUCAGAUUGAACGCUGGCGGCAUGCCUAACACAUGCAAGUCGAACGAGGGUAGCAAUACCUUAGUGGCGGACGGGUGAGGAAUACGUAGGAAUUUGCCCUUAAGUGGGGGAUAGCCCGGGGAAACCCGGAUUAAUACCGCAUGAUCUCGAAAGAGCAAAGUGGGGGAUCGCAAGACCUCACGCUUUUGGAGAAGCCUACGUCGGAUUAGCUAGUUGGUGAGGUAAUGGCUCACCAAGGCGACGAUCCGUAACUGGUCUGAGAGGAUGAUCAGUCACACCGGAACUGAGACACGGUCCGGACUCCUACGGGAGGCAGCAGUGGGGAAUAUUGGACAAUGGGCGCAAGCCUGAUCCAGCAAUGCCGCGUGUGUGAAGAAGGCCUUCGGGUUGUAAAGCACUUUAAGUUGGGAAGAAAAAACUCGCUCUAACACAGUGAGUCUUGACGGUACCGACAGAAUAAGCACCGGCUAACUCUGUGCCAGCAGCCGCGGUAAUACAGAGGGUGCAAGCGUUAAUCGGAUUUACUGGGCGUAAAGCGUGCGUAGGCGGUUCGUUAAGUCGGUUGUGAAAGCCCUGGGCUCAACCUGGGAAUUGCAGUCGAUACUGAUGGACUAGAGAACGGUAGAGGGAGGCGGAACUCCAGGUGUAGCGGUGAAAUGCGUAGAUAUCUGGAAGAACACCGAUGGCGAAGGCAACCUCCUGGGCCUGUUCUGACGCUGAGGCACGAAAGCGUGGGUAGCAAACAGGAUUAGAUACCCUGG
rnacentral:rRNA from 1 species